GCUGUUCAUCGGCAAACUGCAUUCGAAACUACMUGGCUAGAGUGCAGGAGRGGAGAGCAGAAUUCUUCGGUGKAGCGGUGAAAUGCGUKAUAUCGAGAGGAAUKCCCRGUGGUGAAGACGGCUCUCUGGACUGUAACUGACUCUGAGGCACGAAAGCUAGGGGAGCAAACAGGAUUAGAUACCCUGGUAGUCCUAGCCGUAAACGGUGUGCACUUGGUGUGGGAGGAUUUAUCCCCYUUCCGUGCCGGAGCUAACGCGUUAAGUGCACCGCCUGGGGAGUACGGCCGCAAGGCUAAAACUCAAAGAAAUUGACGGGGGCCCGCACAAGCGGUGGAGCAUGUGGCUUAAUUCGAUGCAACGCGAAGAACCUUACCAAGGCUUGACAUGCAAUUGCACGCCCAGCGAAAGCUGGGCUCCUUCGAGGGUAUUGCACAGGUGCUGCAUGGCUGUCGUCAGCUCGUGCCGUGAGGUGUUAGGUUAAGUCCUGCAACGAGCGCAACCCUUGUGAAUAGUUGCUCGCCCUUUGGGCAGCACUCUAUUCAGACUGCCUGUGAUAAGCAGGAGGAAGGUGGGGAUGACGUCAAGUCCGUAUGGCCUUUAUGCCUUGGGCUGCACACGUGCUACAAUGAACGGUACAGAAAGAUGCAAGACCGCGAGGUGGAGCAAAUCUCCAAAACCGUUCCCAGUUCAGAUUGGAGUCUGAAACUCGACUCCAUGAAGCCGGAAUCGCUAGUAAUGGCGCAUCAGCUACGGCGCCGUGAAUACGUUCCCGGGCCUUGUACACACCGCCCGUCACAUCAUGAAAGCCGAUUGCACCCGAAAUAGCCGAUUCAACCCGCAAGGGAGAUAGGUUCCUAAGGUGUGGUUGGUGAUUGGGAUGAARUSGUAACAAGGUAGC
rnacentral:rRNA from 1 species